GCCCCCGUACCCGAACUGGCAUAGGGACCGCACUCAAACUGCGGGGUUUGUGGGUUCGAAUCCCACCGGGGGUACCA
rnacentral:tRNA from 1 species